rnacentral:rRNA from 1 species
GUGCAACCCGCCCACCAUGAAGUCGGAAUUGCUAGUAAUUGCAGGUCAGCAUACUGCCGUGAAUACGUUCCCGGGCCUUGUACACACCGCCCGUCACACCAUGAGAGUUGGAGAUACCCGAAGCCUGUGAGCUAACAGAAAUGGAGCAGCAGUCGAAGGUAGAAUCAAUGAUUGGGGUGAAGUCGUAACAAGGUACC